rnacentral:tRNA from 1 species
GGACGGCUUCGUGCACGGCUCGUGCGGGCAGUUGUCGCCGGCCGAGUGCUCGAACGCGACGAGCACCUGCUUGUUCGACGCCUGCGCCGCCGC